AUGCUGAUGGGGUCCAACGAGGCGGACAAGCCGCUGCAGCGGAUCGGUGCGUCGCCAAGCCGCAGCAGCAGCCUGCGAUGGCGGCGGGGGACUUCUCGCGUGCCUGCUCCAACGUCUCCGUCCUCUUCGGCUGCCUCGUCAUCGCCUUCAAAUUUGCCGAGAUGGACUACGUCGCCAAGGCAAGCGGCCGCUCCUUAG
rnacentral:rRNA from 1 species